ensembl:lncRNA LINC00326 long intergenic non-protein coding RNA 326
GAGCAAACAUAGAGUAUCUGGGACCACAGUAGUUCGCUCUAUAGGUGUGCCAAUCGGUAAUGAUCCAUGGCUGCAUACCCUGCUCUGUAAUACCCCAGCCGUCAGCCAACCAGAAAGCCCCAGAGACUUCUCCGGCCAUCUGAAAACACUGCCAUUAGAGAAGGUUCUGCCUGGCUGUUUUCUUCUCUUCCCGGGAAAUAUGGCCAGAUUAUUGCUGACCUAUCUGGAGGCAACAGGAACAUGGUAAUCUGUUCUUAUUCUAAUGGAUCUUCCAUAACGUUUCCCACAAAGAAUUACUAACCAUUCAUGACCUUCAUCAAAUAACGACUCUGUGGCUACUGAACUCUGCUUUCAACUGGGAGGUGGUUCACAGAUAAGGCUUCCAUUGGAAACAUCACAUAAUGGAUUUUCUCCCCAAGUAUGUUGCCUAUCACUAGGCCUGUCAAAGGUGGAUGCACAUAGACCAAAUCCAGUGGAGUGACUUUUUCCUUUGUAAUUUACCUUCUGUGGAAGGUAGGUAGGAUGUCCUCCAAUGAUGCCCACAUCCUAAUUCAUGGAACCUAUGACUAUGUUAUGUUACACAACAAAAUGGACUUUGUGAUGUAAUUAAGAAGAGAGACAAUCCUAAUCACACAAGACCUUAAAAGCUGAGAACUUCCUCCUGCUGGGGACAGGACAGAUGAGGCAGAAGGGGAGGUUAGGGAGGUUUGAAGAGUGAGAAGAACUUCUGCAGUGGCUGACUUGGAAGAUGAAGGAGGUUAUGAACCAGGGAAUGGGGGCAGCCUCUAGAGGCUGAGAACCUGCUGACACCUACCCACAACCGCUAAGGAAAUGAAGACUUUAAUUCCACAACUGCAUGCAACUAAACUCAGCCAACAACCUGAAUAAGUCGGAAAAAGGCUUCUCCAGAGCCUCCAGAUAAGAGGCCAGGCUGGCGACACCUUGAUUUUGACCUUGUGAGACCUAGAGCAGAGAAACUAGCCAAGAUCACUCAGACUUCUGAUCUACAGAACUGUGAGACCGUAAAUUUAUGUUGUAUUAAGCCACUAAUUGCGUGGGAAUUUGUUACAGGAGCAAUAGAAAAUGAAUACACCUUCUGAUGUAGUUUAAUCAGUUGACAUUAGACGCAAGGUCAAAAAUUUACAUCAGGUAUCUGAAUGUGUAGCAUAUACAACUGAGUGUUGAAAGAAGACAAAAUCGUUUUCAUCACGAAGAAUAUGUGCUCAGUAAGAAUCAGAAUGUUCAAUUGUGUGAAGGUGGGAGAUGGGAAGAUUGGUAUUAUGGCCUGGAUCCAGAAAUCAGUCUUCCACUAUAGGAAAUGGGAAUUUAAAGAUGAUCAGAAGACAGUUGGGAGCAGAGUGAGAAUAAGAACCCUCAACUGCUGUCUCACCUUUCAGAUCACGAAGAAGUUUUUUACAAUGAGCAGAACACUCAACCUGAAAGCAGAAUGGAUUGAGUCACUGCAGCGUGGCAGUGGAAUGGUGUUUGAUGUUGGCAAAGGAAACAUGUACUUCUAGACUGGACAGUUUUCCCUUAGUUUACAGUUUCCAAAUAGAGACAUCACUUUGAAAUAACAUGGAGAACAUACAUGGAUGUACUGAACGAAGAAUAAAGUCUGUGUUGCAGUCCUGUCUCCAUUGACUUUUACAAAUAUGGCUUUGGAUGAAUCACCUAAGUUUUAUUUUUGAGAAUUUACGCUUACCAUGUAUAAAAUGAUAUUGCUAAUAUGUUUGCUGCCUACCCCAUUGGGUUUUGUGAGGAAUAAAUGAUAAUGCUAAGAAAAAGGCAUUGAGAAUUAUAACUCAUUAUUCAAAUGCAAGUUAUUUAUGUGGUUAUUGUCAUUAUUAUUAAUACUUUCACUCAGCUAAAACCUUAGAACCAAAAACAUCUGAGAACUUGCUUACUAUUAAUAACUGUCUUAUUUGAUUCAGGGACUCAAGAAAGUAUCAGCUCACAUGACUGAGUUUCAUCAAUUCCAAGUUGUACAUUGAGAAUCACGAUAAAGAUCGGGAAUAUGAGACUUUAAGCAUAAUUCUUUUUCAUCACCAUCUGGCUAUUUCUACUUCUCCAGUCCUAACUUCUAACCUGAUCUUAGUCACCAGGGCUAAAUUGCAAAGUAGAAAAUUUCAAGGAAGGUUUCUUUGGGUUCCAUACUCUGCUUUUAUGCCUUCUACAUAAAGAAAGGGAAACAGAAAAAAAAAAAAAAAAAAAAAAAAAAG